ACACUACAGGAGAUUUGACACCUUCCUCCUCGGAAGCAGCUGUGAGACACCACCAUCUUUCUCCCAAGGCCCAGCUAUUAACUCAACAGUCCCCAGACCCAAGCGAAGUCAGCAGAAGAAAGAAAUGGUUCGAGGCAAAUAGAAAGAUGCUGAGAGGGGCCAUCACCUUAGUCUCACUCACCAGACUGACUGCGCGUGCGGGUGCUCAGAACCACAGGAAUAAAGUCACGGAAACUGCUCUUUGCUUUCUUUUCCAAGGAA